rnacentral:rRNA from 1 species
GACGAACGCUGGCGGUGCGCUUCAUACAUGCAAGUCGAGCGAUGAGGCCCUUCGGGGUACAUCAGCGGCGGACGGGUGAGUAACACGUAGAUAACGUGCCCUUUACUGGGGGAUAACACCGGGAAACCGGUGCUAAUACCGCAUAAGUGCCAGGCUGGAAUGCCUGUCAUUAAAGCUCCGGCGGUAAAGGAUCGGUCUGCGUCUGAUUAGCUAGUUGGUAGGGUAAUGGCCUACCAAGGCUACGAUCAGUAGUUGGUCUGAGAGGAUGACCAGCCACAGUGGGACUGAGACACGGCCCACACUCCUACGGGAGGCAGCAGUAGGGAAUCUUGCGCAAUGGGCGAAAGCCUGACGCAGCGACACCGCGUGGAGGAAGACUGUCUUCGGAUUGUAAACUCCUUUCGCCAGGGAAGAAUUUUGACGGUACCUGGAGAAGAAGCACCGGCUAACUACGUGCCAGCAGCCGCGGUAAGACGUAGGGUGCAAGCGUUGUCCGGAAUU